rnacentral:rRNA from 1 species
GAUGAACGCUAGCGGCAGGCUUAACACAUGCAAGUCGAGGGGUAUAGUUCUUCGGAGCUAGAGACCGGCGCACGGGUGCGUAACGCGUAUGCAAUCUACCUUUUGCAGAGGGAUAGCCCAGAGAAAUUUGGAUUAAUACCUCAUGGUAUGUGAGAAUGGCAUCAUUUUCACAUUAAAGUCACAACGGCAAAAGAUGAGCAUGCGUACCAUUAGCUAGUUGGUAAGGUAACGGCUUACCAAGGCAACGAUGGGUAGGGGUACUGAGAGGGAGAUCCCCCACACUGGUACUGAGACACGGACCAGACUCCUACGGGAGGCAGUAGUGAGGAAUAUUGGACAAUGGGCGCAAGCCUGAUCCAGCCAUGCCGCGUGCAGGAUGACGGUCCUAUGGAUUGUAAACUGCUUUUGUACAGGAAGAAACACUGGUUCGUGAACCAGCUUGACGGUACUGUAAGAAUAAGGAUCGGCUAACUCCGUGCCAGCAGCCGCAGUAACAC